rnacentral:rRNA from 1 species
UACGUAGGGCGCAAGCGUUAUCCGGAAUUAUUGGGCGUAAAGAGCUCGGGCGGUUUGUCGCGUCUGCCGUGAAAGUCCGGGGCUCAACUCCGGAUCUGCGGUGGGUACGGGCAGACUAGAGUGAUGUAGGGGAGACUGGAAUUCCUGGUGUAGCGGUGAAAUGCGCAGAUAUCAGGAGGAACACCGAUGGCGAAGGCAGGUCUCUGGGCAUUAACUGACGCUGAGGAGCGAAAGCAUGGGGAGCGAACAGG